UUUCUUCUUUUUCAUAGGGCAUGAAACUAAACAUGCAUGUUAGUUCGGCAAUGUACCACUCCAUACAUCUUUUUUUCUCAGAAAAAAGACAUAAACCCAACUUUAUAAAUGAAAUCAGCAAGGGAAAGCAUGGCACCAUGAUAACAGAGUACCACCCUCCAAGACAAAUCACCACGAACAUAAAUAAAAUCCGCACAUGGAAUGGGAGUUCACGCACGCAUGCCACCAGGAAACAAAAGCAAGAUAGCCA
rnacentral:lncRNA from 1 species